rnacentral:miRNA from 1 species
AAGGUGUGCAUGGACCUGCAG